rnacentral:rRNA from 1 species
CAACCUGAGAGUUUGAUUCUGGCUCAGAACGAACGCUGGCGGCAGGCUUAACACAUGCAAGUCGAGCGCCCUGCUUGCAGGGAGCGGCAGACGGGUGAGUAACGCGUGGGAACAUACCUUUCGGUUCGGAAUAGCCCCGGGAAACUGGGUGUAAUACCGAAUACGUCCUUAGGGAGAAAGAUUUAUCGCCGAAAGAUUGGCCCGCGUUAGAUUAGAUAGUUGGUGAGGUAACGGCUCACCAAGUCGACGAUCUAUAGCUGGUUUGAGAGGAUGAUCAGCCACACUGGGACUGAGACACGGCCCAGACUCCUACGGGAGGCAGCAGUGAGGAAUCUUGGACAAUGGGCGAAAGCCUGAUCCAGCCAUGCCGCGUGAAUGAUGAAGGCCUUAGGGUUGUAAAAUUCUUUCAGCAGGGAAGAUAAUGACGGUACCUGCAAAAGAAGCCCCGGCUAACUCCGUGCCAGCAGCCGCGGUAAUACGGAGGGGGC